UACAGAGGUCUCAAGCGUUGUUCGGAUUCAUUGGGCGUAAAGGGUGCGUAGGUGGCGCGCUAAGUCAGGUGUGAAAUUUCGGAGCUUAACUCCGAAACUGCAUUUGAUACUGGCGUGCUUGAGGACUGGAGAGGAGACUGGAAUUCAUGGUGUAGCAGUGAAAUGCGUAGAGAUCAGGAGGAAGACCAGUGGCGAAGGCGGGUCUCUGGACAGUUCCUGACACUGAGGCACGAAGGCCAGGGGAGCAAACGGG
rnacentral:rRNA from 1 species